rnacentral:rRNA from 1 species
UACGUAGGGUGCGAGCGUUAAUCGGAAUUACUGGGCGUAAAGCGUGCGCAGGCGGUUUUGUAAGCCAGAUGUGAAAUCCCCCGGGCUUAACCUGGGAAUGGCAUUUGGGACUGCAAGGCUUGAGUGCGGCAGAGGAGACUGGAAUUCCCAGUGUAGAGGUGAAAUUCGUAGAUAUUGGGAAGAACACCGGUGGCGAAGGCGGCCAACUGGACCACAACUGACACUGAGGCGCGAAAGCGUGGGGAGCAAACAGG